GGGGAGGAGCUCACAGCGCCACCUGCUGCUCGUUGAGGACAAUGCACAAUGAGGGACGUCUGCAGAGACUGAGAAAGAGUCUCACCACAUCCUGACAUGAGGAAAAAGACUUUAUUGAAGACUGCAAUGAGAAAAACUAUCAGACAGCAGACGGCUGCAUUCAAGGUGAGCUCUGAACAUUUGAUCUGGAACAGGAAUUCAAUAACAGCAGCAUGAGCUUCAUUUCAGUCUGUAGCUGCUGAAUUCAUGGAUGAAUCAUCUGGCACUAGAGAGGAAGACCAUCAAACAUCCACGUCAGCUGAUGGAGGUCCAAGAGUCUCACCAAACAAACAACCUACAGAGUGAAGACCUCAAAUCUGAUUGGACGGCCUCCUAUUCAGCCACAUGUGUGAACAAAUGCCUCUAAGCUGAUUUGUUUUCUAAAAUAAAUCUAGUUUCAGUCCUAA